CAAUAGCGUAUAUUAAAGUUGUUGCAGUUAAAAAGCUCGUAGUUGGAUUUGUGGCGUACGGUGUGUUCCGGGCACUUGUUGUCUGAGUAACCUGCUGUUGCCAUCCUUGGGUGGAACCUGUGUGGCAUUAGGUUGUCGUGCAGGGGAUGCCCAUCAUUUACUGUGAAAAAAUUAGAGUGUUCAAAGCAGGCUUAUGCCGUUGAAUAUAUUAGCAUGGAAUAAUGAGAUAGGGCUUUUUUGCUAUUUUGUUGGUUUGCGCAAAGAGGUAAUGAUUAAUAGGGACAGUUGGGGGUAUUCGUAUUCCAUUGUCAGAGGUGAAAUUCUUGGAUUUUUGGAAGACGAACUACUGCGAAAGCAUUUACCAAGGAUGUUUUCAUUAA
rnacentral:rRNA from 1 species